GACGAACGCUGGCGGCGUGCUUAACACAUGCAAGUCGAACGGAAAGGCCCUGCUUUUGUGGUGUGCUCGAGUGGCGAACGGGUGAGUAACACGUGAGUAACCUGCCCUUGACUUUGGGAUAACUUCAGGAAACUGGGGCUAAUACCGGAUAGGAGCUCCUGCUGCAUGGUGGGGGUUGGAAAGUUCCGGCGGUUGGGGAUGGACUCGCGGCUUAUCAGCUUGUUGGUGGGGUAGUGGCUUACCAAGGCUUGGACGGGGAGCCGGCCUGGGAGGGUGAACGGCCACAUUGGGACUGAGAGACGGCCCAGACGACUACGGGAGGCAGGAGUGGAGAAUAUUGCACAAUGGGCGGAAGACUGAUGCAGCAACGCCGCGUGCGGGAUGACGGCCUUCGGGUUGUAAGCCGCUUUCGCCUGUGACGAAGCGUGAGUGACGGUAAUGGGUAAAGAAGCACCGGCUAACUACGU
rnacentral:rRNA from 1 species